GGGCGAGUAGCUCAGUUGGGAGAGCAUCCGGCUUACAUCCGGAAGGCCACAGGUUCGAGUCCUGUCCCGCCCA
rnacentral:tRNA from 1 species